rnacentral:rRNA from 1 species
CUGGCGGCGUGCCUAACACAUGCAAGUCGAACGAGCGCAAGGAGCUUGCUCCUGUUGCGAGUGGCGGACGGGUGAGUAACGCGUGAGGAACCUGCCCUUGAGAGGGGGAUAACGUCCGGAAACGGACGCUAAUACCGGCAUAACAUGUUCAAAUCGCAUGGUUUGAACAUCAAAGGAGCAAUCCGCUGAAGGAUGGACCUCGCGUCUGAUUAGAGUAGUUGGUGAGGUAACGGCUCACCAAGUCGACGAUCAGUAGCCGGACUGAGAGGUUGAUCGGCCACAUUGGGACUGAGACACGGCCCAGACUCCUACGGGAGGCAGCAGUGAGGGAUAUUGCACAAUGGGGGAAACCCUGAUGCAGCAACGCCGCGUGAAGGAAGACGGUUUUCGGAUUGUAAACUUCUGUUUUGGGUGACGAUAAUGACGGUAGCCCGAUAGAAAGCCACGGCUAACUACGUGCCAGCCGCCGC